UUUCGCUCGUCUUUCCGUUUCUCCGGGUUUUUUUCCCUUUUCCACGGACGGCCGCCCCUCGCUUGGCGCCGAUCCUUUCACGUGUGUCGCGCACCUGCGCCCCCGCUCAGCUGUCGCUCAUCAUGGCGACGAUGACGUCAGCGGUCGUCGACACCUUUGGCGGGUCGGCUGCAGGGGGAGGAGCCACACGCGGCCAGGUAAGCGCCUGACGUGCAGGUCAAUUGCGCACCUGCGGGUCAGCCGACCUCCCCACCCAAAGGAAAAUAAUAAAAACAACCGAUUUGUAUUUUAAUCUAAAUGCGAAGCCAUUAAAACGGAAUCAAGCAGCUGUUAUAGGACAUGUGAAUUACAAUUAAAUUCUAAAAAUGACUCCACACGUGUUGUCAUCUGCAGAUGAAAAUUUAAACUACAAAAAAAAAAACGAAGCAACUUUUAUGAACAUUCCCAAUCAUUUAAUUAAAACUAGCGAUUGUGGAGCACUGAACAAUUUCAGGUAAAAUGAUCUUGCUGUACAAAUAGUGAGAUGGAAGUCAU